GGAAUUUCAUUAUUUACUGUUUGGCAACUCUAUGAUUAUUAAACUAAUAAUAAUAAAUAAUUUUUAAACUUGGCAGCACUGAUAUCUGCAAAAACAAUUGAUGCACCACUGCUCUUUAUUCCAUUUGUCCGUUAUUAAACAAGUCACUACAUCUAUUGAAUAUGGAUACAGAUGAAGAUGAAAUCUUUGAUAAUUUGACUACAGCAAUAUGCGAAAAUAUAUCCAAUAUGUCUGCAGAACCAACACCAACGCCAGAUAAAAAGAGAAAGCGUUUUCAAGUUACGACGGCAUGGUCCUCGGAAGAUGUUUUUAAUUUAAUAGAAAUAAUAGAAAAACAUCCUUGUCUGUGGGAAUAUUCUUCAUCAGACUAUAAAAACCGACAGAAGAGAGAGAACGCAUGGAGAGAAGUUGCAGCGAACUGUCAUGGCCGUAGCGUUGAU
rnacentral:lncRNA from 1 species